AUUGAACGCUGGCGGCAGGCCUAACACAUGCAAGUCGAGCGGAUGAAGGGAGCUUGCUCCUGGAUUCAGCGGCGGACGGGUGAGUAAUGCCUAGGAAUCUGCCUGGUAGUGGGGGAUAACGUCCGGAAACGGGCGCUAAUACCGCAUACGUCCUGAGGGAGAAAGUGGGGGAUCUUCGGACCUCACGCUAUCAGAUGAGCCUAGGUCGGAUUAGCUAGUUGGUGGGGUAAAGGCCUACCAAGGCGACGAUCCGUAACUGGUCUGAGAGGAUGAUCAGUCACACUGGAACUGGGACACGGUCCAGACUCCUACGGGAGGCAGCAGUGGGGAAUAUUGGACAAUGGGCGAAAGCCGGAUCCAGCCAUGCCGCGUGUGUGAAGAAGGUCUUCGGAUUGUAAAGCACUUUAGGUUGGGAGGAAGGGCAGUAAGUUAAUACCUUGCUGUUUUGACGUUACCAACAGAAUAAGCACCGGCUAACUUCGUG
rnacentral:rRNA from 1 species